AUAUCCGGUCAAGCGAAAGUAGGGCGCACGGUGGAUGCCUUGGCACGGACAGGCGAAGAAGGGCGCGAUAAGCUGCGAUAAGCUUCGGGGAGCUGCACGUAAGCGUUGAUCCGGAGAUGCCCGAAUGGGGAAACCCGGCAGCCGUCAUGGGCUGUCACCUCACCCUGAAUACAUAGGGGAUGAGGGGCCAACGGGGAGAACUGAAACAUCUAAGUAUCCCCAGGAAAAGAAAUCAAACGAGAUUCCCUGAGUAGCGGCGAGCGAAACGGGAGGAGCCCAAACCAGGUCUUCGGAUCUGGGGUUGUAGGGCCGGAGCGGGGCAUGUCCCGCUCGAUGGAGCCAUGUAGCGGAAGCGGCCUGGAACGGCCUACCGCAGGGGGUGAGAGUCCCGUACGCGAAACAUGGUCUUCACGAGUGGCUCUGGUACCUGAGUACGGCGGGACACGAGAAACCCCGUCGGAAUCUGGGGGGACCACCCUCCAAGGCUACAUACUCGUCCGUGACCGAUAGUGCACCAGUACCGUGAGGGAAAGGUGAAAAGAACGCCUGACGGCGAGUGAAAUAGAACCUGAAACCGUGUGCCUGCAAGCGGUAGGAGGGGGCUUAGGCUCCUGACUGCGUGCCUUUUGCAUUAUGAUCCGGCGAGUUACUCGUCACGUGCGAGGUUAAGCAACUCAGUUGCGCAGCCGAAGCGAAAGCGAGUCUGAACAGGGCGUUCAGUACGUGGCGGUAGACCCGAAACCGAAGCGAUCUACCCAUGGCCAGGAUGAAGCUCCGGUAACACGGAGUGGAGGUCCGAACCCGUUUCUGUUGAAAAAGAUUGGGAUGAGCUGUGGGUAGGGGUGAAAGGCCAAUCAAGCUCGGAGAUAGCUGGUUCUCCCCGAAAACUAUUGAGGUAGUGCCUCGGAGCGUGUGUCGCGGAGGUAGAGCACUGAAAGGACGCGGGGCCCCACCGGGUUACCAACUCCUAUCAAACUCCGAAUGCCGUGGACAUGGACUCCGGGAGACAGUGCACGAGCGAUAAUGUCCGUGCGCGAGAGGGAAAGAGCCCAGACCCUCGGCUAAGGCCCCAAAGUGCGGGCUAAGUGAGAAAGGAUGUGGGUGUGCAUUGACAACUGGGAGGUUGGCUUAGAAGCAGCCAUGCCUUGAAAGAGUGCGUAAUAGCUCACCAGUCAAGUGCGCCUGCGCCGAUAAUGGUCGGGACUUGUAAGUCCGCCGCCGAAGCCAGGGAUUCAUCCUUAGGGAUGAGUGGUAGGGGAGCGUUCCAGUAGCGGAGAAGCGGGGGUGGAAACCUUCCCGUGGAGCGGCUGGAAGUGAGGAUGCCGGAAUGAGUACGCGAUAACGGGGGUGAGAAUCCCCCGCACCGAAAGCCUAAGGUUUCCAGGGGCAGGCUCGUCCGCCCUGGGUUAGUCGGACCCUAAGUCGAGGCCGAAGGGCGUAGACGAUGGGAAACGGGUGAAUAUUCCCGUACCACAGGACGUGCGUUUGACCCGCAGGGGGGACGCAGGAGUGAGAGUGGGGCCGGGCGGCGGUAGUCCCGGUGCAAGGAGGUAGGCGGUCCCGGGGGAUAAAAGACCUGGGUAGCCGAGAUCCGAUGCCAACUGGAGGGUUCGCCCUCUGGGAGUCCAUGUAAUCAGGCUGCCGAGAAAAGCCUCGGCGGGGAGUACGUCUUGUGACCGUACCGCAAACGGACACACGUAGGCGAGGCGAGUAGCCUCAGGUGCGCGAGUGAACUGUGGAGAAGGAACUCGGCAAAAUGUCCCCGUAACUUCGGGAGAAGGGGAGCCUUCGGUACUUGACUGCCGCUUGCCGGCAGAAGGGGAAAGAGGCCGCAGAGAAUCGGCUCAAGCGACUGUUUAGCAAAAACACAGGUGUCUGCAAAGUCGCGCAAGACGACGUAUAGGCACUGACGCCUGCCCGGUGCCGGAAGGUUAAGAGGAGAGGUCAGCCCGCAAGGGUGAAGCUUUGAAUCGAAGCCCCGGUAAACGGCGGCCGUAACUAUAACGGUCCUAAGGUAGCGAAAUUCCUUGUCGGGUAAGUUCCGACCUGCACGAAUGGCGUAACGACUUGAGCGCUGUCUCCUCCACAAGCUCGGCGAAAUUGGAGUCUCGGUGAGGAUACCGAGUACCCGCGACAGGACAAAAAGACCCCGUGCACCUUUACUGCACCCUGACAUUGCUCUUCGGUACCACUUGUGUAGCAUAGGUGGGAGGCUGUGAGACGGGCCCGCCAGGGCUCGUGGAGCCAUCAGUGAAAUACCACCCUGGUGAUAUUGGAGACCUAACCUCGUCCCGUGAAUCCGGGACAGGGACCGUGUCAGGCGGGCAGUUUGACUGGGGCGGUCGCCUCCUAAAGCGUAGCGGAGGCGCGCAAUGGUUCCCUCAGCGCGGUCGGCAAUCGCGCGUAGAGAGCGUAAACGCAUAAGGGAGCUUGACUGCGAGACCAACAAGUCGAGCAGGUGCGAAAGCAGGCGUUAGUGAUCCGGCGAUCCCGUGUGGAAGGGUCGUCGCUCAACGGAUAAAAGGUACGCCGGGGAUAACAGGCUUAUCGCCCCCGAGAGUUCACAUCGACGGGGCGGUUUGGCACCUCGAUGUCGGCUCAUCGCAUCCUGGGGCUGGAGAAGGUCCCAAGGGUCCGGCUGUUCGCCGGUUAAAGCGGUACGCGAGCUGGGUUCAGAACGUCGUGAGACAGUUCGGUCUGUAUCCGUCGUGGGCGUUGGAAGAUUGAUGGAAGCCGUCCUUAGUACGAGAGGACCGGGACGGACCAACCUCUGGUGUACCGGUUGUCGCGCCAGCGGCAGUGCCGGGUAGCUACGUUGGGAAGGGAUAACCGCUGAACGCAUCUAAGUGGGAAGCCCCUCCAGAGAUGAAUCUUCCUGGGAGCUUGACUCCCCUGAAGGGCCGUGGGAGACCACCACGUUGAUAGGCGGCAGGUGCAGGGCGUGUGAGCGCUAAAGCCGAGCCGUACUAAGGGCCCGUGAAGCUUGACCGGUCUUUUCU
rnacentral:rRNA from 1 species